UCCGUAGGUGAACCUGCGGAAGGAUCAUUAUUGAAAACAAGGGUGUCCAAUUUAACUUGGAACCCAAACUUCUCAAUUCUAACUUUGUGCAUCUGUAUUAAUGGCGAGCAACUUCGGUUGUGAGCCUUCACUUACAAAACACUAGUCUAUGAAUGUAAAAUUUUUAUAACAAAUAAAAACUUUCAACAACGGAUCUCUUGGCUCUCGCAUCGAUGAAGAACGCAGCGAAAUGCGAUACGUAAUGUGAAUUGCAGAAUUCAGUGAAUCAUCGAAUCUUUGAACGCAUCUUGCGCUCUCUGGUAUUCCGGAGAGCAUGUCUGUUUGAGUGUCAUGAAUUCUUCAACCCAAUCUUUUCUUGUAAUCGAUUGGUGUUUGGAUUCUGAGCGUUGCUGGCGUUUGCCUAGCUCGUUCGUAAUACAUUAGCAUCCCUAAUACAAGUUUGGAUUGACUUGGCGUAAUAGACUAUUCGCUAAGGAUUCGGUGGAAACAUCGAGCCAACUUCAUUAAGGAAGCUCCUAAUUUAAAAGUCUACCUUUUGAUUAGAUCUCAAAUCAGGCAGGAUUACCCGCUGAACUU
rnacentral:misc_RNA from 1 species